GUCGCCCCCACAGCCUGUGGGCUACGGGAACGCGAUCCGACUCGGCGGCCCUCCCUGCCUGGAUGGCCGGUCCCCGAGGCUGAGGAAGUCCAUUCCUCUUUCGGAAAUGGUCCCCAGGAAGCUUCUCCGUGUCCCCCUAUGGCCGGGUACUGAGCGGGGCCCGGGUGGUCUGCGGCCGUGGCCCCCGCCCCUCAGCGCAGGCGACCCUCCUGGCCCUGGCGGGCACAGCGCCUCUCCCGUGACCUGGGCCGGCCCGCAGGAUGAGCCCCCGGAUCACGAUCGCUGGCAUUUUAUUUACCUUCUUCCAUUACAACCCCAGGCGAGUCUCCCGGGCCCCGAGAGGAGGGGGUGACUGGUCAGGGUCAUCGGUAGCGGCGGCAGGGGCCUGCAUAGGGCUGCCUCGGGGCGACUAGCAGAAUGGCCGCCAGCCUCGGCUGCCCCAGCCCCCAGCGCAUGGAAUGUGCCCCGGGCCCCAGGAGCUCCAGGAACCGCGCUUGUGAGACGGAGCUUCGGCUGCUUGGAGCUAGUGAGCCACCGGCCACGGCAGGGAUUUGAGCAGAACUUGGGGGCAGAGGGAUGAGAUGGUGCAUCCCUUGAGGUCACUUCAGGAGAUGACACUCCUGUGGCUAAGUGUAGCUUCCCAGGUCAUGGCUCCCAGGUCAGGCCUGGUCAAUGGAGAAUUAAGUGGGCGUUGGGUGGUGGAUGGAUGUGAUUUGGCAGAGGGGACAAAUGUGACAACAGUGUAAUAAGGGCCAUGUUGGGGAGGGUCAGGGGUCAGGGUCCGGCCCAACCUGAGCAGAAGGGAGGCUGCUCUCAGGGAUAUUUGUCAGGUAGGAAUGGGUGGAGUGGAACUACAGGGCCACCAUGUUUCCCAUGGGUCACCCAUGGUGGCCUUGUCAUGUUUAUCCGUGAUCCUCAGUGUUCUCUGUGGUCCUCCCGUCACCCCUUUCAGACUGUCCUUUCAGUUCUCCACUGUCCCUGCAUCACCUCUGCCCCUGUCCCGUUUGUCUGUGUUCAGUCCAUGUUCCCAGGUCUUGAGGUGGCCCCUGGUUCUAUGCCCCUUACCUAAGACCCUGUGCAGGGAAUCUGUGAAAACACAGAGGAAAUAAAAAGUGAGGAAAAUAGUA
rnacentral:lncRNA from 1 species